rnacentral:rRNA from 1 species
CCUACGGGAGGCAGCAGUGGGGAAUCUUGCACAAUGGAGGAAACUCUGAUGCAGCGAUGCCGCGUGAGUGAAGAAGGCCUUUGGGUUGUAAAGCUCUUUUGUAGGGGAAGAUAAUGACUGUACCCUAAGAAUAAGGUCCGGCUAACUUCGUGCCAGCAGCCGCGGUAAUACGAAGGGACCUAGCGUAGUUCGGAAUUACUGGGCGUAAAGCGCGCGUAGGCCGUUGAGUUAGUUAAUUGUGAAAUCCCAAAGCUUAACUUUGGAACUGCAAUUAAAACUGCUCGACUAGAGUUUGAUAGAGGAAAGCGGAAUACAUAGUGUAGAGGUGAAAUUCGUAGAUAUUAUGUAGAACACCAGUUGCGAAGGCGGCUUUCUGGAUCAACACUGACGCUGAGGCGCGAAAGUAUGGGUAGCAAAGAGGAUUAGAUACCCUCGUAGUCCAUACCAUAAACGAUGAUUNUNUANAUGUGUAAUUAUUUACUAUAU